UACGAAGGGGGCUAGCGUUGCUCGGAAUGACUGGGCGUAAAGGGCGCGUAGGCGGAUGGCACAGUCAGAUGUGAAAUUCCCGGGCUUAACCUGGGGGCUGCAUUUGAUACGUGUUGUCUUGAGUUCGGAAGAGGGUCGUGGAAUUCCCAGUGUAGAGGUGAAAUUCGUAGAUAUUGGGAAGAACACCGGUGGCGAAGGCGGCGACCUGGUCCGACACUGACGCUGAGGCGCGAAAGCAUGGGGAGCGAACGG
rnacentral:rRNA from 1 species